AAAAUGUAACUUCCAUGCCUUCUGCUACCUCGUGUCGAGCUUUGCGGUUCAAGAAACAAACACAUAUAUGCACAACAUCACUCACACACUCUCACUCAACACACAAUCACACUUCACGUUUACUCAAACCUUUUCUCCCUUAACACAGUUAUUGCAUAACACUAUUCAAGUCCAUAGAGUACUGAGAGCGGAAAGCACUAGGAACAUUACCUCUGACUCCUUAAACGGUCGAGAAAUGGCAGAAAACUCCAAAAACAAUUCUUCAAGAACGUAUAUCGAAGAUUUUGGCUGUGUAAUUUUGUCUGCACCGAAUUCAAAUUCACCCUAUGAAGAUUCCGGUGAUGUGCUAUCACAAGAUCCCAUCUCUUGUACUCUGUCGGCAAGUUUAAUUGAGCCUCAGGUUUAGUUAGCAUUGAAGACUGUCAACAACAUCAUCACCCAUGACCAAGAUUGGAAGUGGUACAAGUUGAAAGUGCCAUUUACUCUACUUGAGAGAGAACCUUUGUCACGAAGUAUUUCAUGUGGAUUUGGAAUGAAAGAUAUCAACUAACAAAGGCAGCAACGCAUCGAUCCCGACAUGGACAUACAAAUGGUGGUGCAGCAUGUCAUUAUGGGUCAUGACUAAUGCUAAAUUUAUGCAGCAUGGUGAUGAUACAAUUUGUGAUGAAGGUGUUAGUAACCAAAAUCUAAUGUGGCCAAAUUGGAGAGUCGCAAUGUUGAAACAACUAAAUUGGCAUGCACGUAGGGUGGUAAGUAUACUAGCAAUGUGGUUGUGGGGAACCGAAGAUUAUUAAAUGACUAUCAAAUCUAUCCAUAUUGAUGGUGGUGGGUUCCAAGAUAUAAAACAUAGAGGCAAAUUUUGCACAGAGCUAUGCAGUUAUGUGGUUCUUGAUUCAGGACGUUGUCAUCCAUAUUGAAUGUAAUAGUUAUAACCAUUGGUGAGAUGAUGGUACAAAUAAAAAAAGGCAUACU